rnacentral:rRNA from 1 species
AGUAACUGCGAGUGAAGCGGGACAAGCUCAAAUUUAAAAUCUGGCAGAUGUUUGUCUGUCCGAGUUGUAACCUAGAGAAGUGUAACCUGUGCUGGACCGUGUACAAGUCUCCUGGAAUGGAGCAUCAUAGAGGGUGAGAAUCCCGUCUUUGACAUGGACUACCAGUGCACUGUGGUUGCACACUCAACGAGUCGAGUUGUUUGGGAAUGCAGCUCUAAAUGGGUGGUAAAUUCCAUCUAAAGCUAAAUAUUGGCGAGAGACCGAUAGCGAACAAGUACCGUGAGGGAAAGAUGAAAAGAACUUUGGAAAGAGAGUUAAACAGUAUGUGAAAUUGUUGAAAGGGAAACGCUUGAAGUCAGCUGCAUUAGCUGGGGAUCAAGCCAGCUUUUUUGCUGGGUGUACUUCCUGGUUGAUGGGCCAACAUCAGUUUUGACCAUCAGAGAAAGGCUAAGGGAAUGUGGCACCUUUAUAGGUGUGUUAUAGCCCUUGGUUGUAUGUGAUGGUUGGGACUGAGGACAGCAGUGUGCCGCAAGGCUGGGUUUCGACCACGUUCAUGCUUCGGAUGUUGGCAUAAUGGCUUUAAGCGACCCGUCUUGAAACACGGACCAAGGAGUCUAACAUGCAUGCAAGUGUUUGGGUGGAAAACUCGAGCGCGUAAUGAAAGUGAAAGUUGAGAUCCCUCUCACAGGGGAGCAUCGACGCCCGGACCAGAACUUUUGGGACGGAUCUGCGGUAGAGCAAGCAUGUUGGGACCCGAAAGAUGGUGAACUAUGCCUGAAUAGGGUGAAGCCAGAGGAAACUCUGGUGGAGGCUCGUAGCGAUUCUGACGUGCAAAUCGAUCGUCGAAUUUGGGUAU